rnacentral:piRNA from 1 species
UGCCUAUGUUUUUCACGUACC